rnacentral:lncRNA from 12 species
AUGGUCUUUAACCCUCUACACAUGUUUAUUUCCUUGAUUUUUGUAGGUCCAUUUGACUGGCAGACAACAGAACUUUCUGGAACAGUUUCUGAAACCCUUCAGACCACUCAUGCGCAGCUCCAGCAUCGUUACUGCCACUCCCCUGAGCCUGGCCUCUCACUCCUAGGCUUGGUGCCUGACCCCAGAGGAGCCCUUGAGAUGUGAGUAGUUAUUGUAAAAGCAACGGACUUUCUAGUGAAAAGGAAACUUACCCUUACAAAUGAAUUUGGAUUUUCCUUUUCUCUCCCCAUCACUGACCGUAUAGAAAUACGUUUAGUUUAUUUGCAGAAACUUCACAGUUGCACUCCACUCAUAACAACUUCCCCUUAGACUUGAGAAACGCUUCUGGGUCCCAAAUUUUAGAGAAAAACUAGGAUCUACCCUACGUCAACUUGGGCAGAAGGAGUCAGUGCUUUUCAGGGUUCUCAGACUCAAGGCCUCCCUUUACGUAACACAUAUUUGGAGGUGCUUCUUUUCCAUUCUAGAAUGAAAUUUGCAGACAGCGUAACCUAACUAUACAUGUAGUAAAAAAAACAACGAAUGUGAGAUACAAACUGUAAUAGAAAAGAGAAAUAGAAGUAAUAUAACACGAUACGCAUUUCGAUAUGUAAAUGGCUAAAGUGCAAGAUAAACUGUACGAAUUUCCAGAACAUUUCACAGGGAAGGGAACUAACCCGGGGAGAAGUUCUCUCAGUGCCCUGCCCUGUCUGGCAUUGUGGGGUGUAAAGGUGAGUUUGGGGUCAGCUCUCUGUGACUUAGAGCAAGUUCCCGAUUUGGGCUGAGCCCGGGGCACCCUCGGUUAAGGAGGACACUGCUCCACGGGACU